AUUGAACGCUGGCGGCAUGCCUUACACAUGCAAGUCGAACGGUAACAGGCCGCAAGGUGCUGACGAGUGGCGAACGGGUGAGUAAUGCAUCGGAACGUGCCCAGUCGUGGGGGAUAACGCAGCGAAAGCUGCGCUAAUACCGCAUACGAUCUAUGGAUGAAAGCGGGGGACCGAAAGGCCUGGCGCGAUUGGAGCGGCCGAUGUCAGAUUAGGUAGUUGGUGGGGUAAAGGCUCACCAAGCCAACGAUCUGUAGCUGGUCUGAGAGGACGACCAGCCACACUGGGACUGAGACACGGCCCAGACUCCUACGGGAGGCAGCAGUGGGGAAUUUUGGACAAUGGGCGCAAGCCUGAUCCAGCAAUGCCGCGUGCAGGAAGAAGGCCUUCGGGUUGUAAACUGCUUUUGUACGGAACGAAACGGUCCGGGUUAAUACCUUGGGCUAAUGACGGUACCGUAAGAAUAAGCACCGGCUAACUACGUGCCAGCAGCCGCAGUAACAC
rnacentral:rRNA from 1 species